UGAAUUAAUUCAACAAACAUUUUCUGGGGCACCGACAAUCUGCCCAGUGCACCAGGCUAGGUAUCUGAUACAAAGAUAAUGAAAACAGUCUCUUGGAACCUAAUUGGGGUCCUCAUUUGACCAGGAAUUUCUUUCGUCCCGUUUUAAGCCAACCAGUUUUGUCCGGACAAGACAAAAACAACUUGGGCUGCUUUAGAGAAGCCCAGCUCAGUGUAGACAAUAGCUGCCCAGCCUCUGAAAGGGGCUGAUUGGAUUAUGUGGCAAAUGGAGGUGCAAGGAUGACUUGGACGGUGACAAAUGAAGUGGGCGGAGACCUGCUUUGAGUUAAUCCAGGCUAUUAGGAGGGGACCUUUUGUCUUCCAGAGACUGGCAGGAGCUUUUACCAGUGGUUUUUACAUCCUUAAUGUUCAGGACGAAUAAUUUAUGGUCAGUGAAAAUCCAGGCCCCAGUGAGAUUCGAGUGGGCUGUAAAAUCGAGAGUCCUGCUCCCAGUGAGUAAUGGUAGUGAAUGUUUCUGUCACUUUUUGCAACCGUCCAUUCAUUUGAUCCUCACAACUCCCUGUCCUGAGCCAGGACCGGCCACUGCCACUCCCAGGGAAACAGAGGCUGUCAAGAGGCUCCACAGAUUGGGCCCCACUGGAUCAUUGAACCCCUGUUCCCUGAGUUCUAGAGGAAGAAUUGUACCUGUCUCAGUCCCGGCCACCUCCAGAAGGCCUCCCUCUGCAUUUCUGACUUUGCUGUGCCGGCAGCCUGGAGCCUCCCAGGUCCCUGCUGUCAUCUUUUCUAGCCACUACAGUCUCUGUCUUUCCUUUCACAGCCAAGCUUCUUGAAAGGCCUGUCUACACUUGCUGUCUUCCUUCCUCACCUCCAAUUUCCUCUUCAACCCACUGCUUCCUGACUCGCUCUACUCCGUGGAAGCACGCUCACAAAGGGCUAAUCUCGGGCCUUGUCGAAGGAAGAGGCUGCAGACGUUAAUGAGGUUAGCUGCUGGAUUCCAGUAUUCGUCGCAUAAGGAUCCUUCUUUGUCUGCGAAGGAAAAACACACUGAUUAUCAUAAUGAGUUCCUGACCUGGCCAUCCCGGGGUGCCCUUGACCAGCCCCGUGUCUCCUCAGGGUGUCCCAGCACCAGCCUGGCACAGAGUGGGGCUCAGUUAGAGUAUGUGGGAUGUUGGUUUCGCCAGGCACGUGGGCCGUGGCCCGGCUGGGUCGGCUGAAGAACUGCGGAUGGAAGCUGCGGAAGAGGCCCUGAUGGGGCCCACCAUCCCGGACCCAAGUCUUCUUCCUGGCGGGCCUCUCGUCUCCUUCCUGGUUUGGGCGGAAGCCAUCACCUGGAUGCCUACGUGGGAAGGGACCUCGAAUGUGGGACCCCAGCCCCUCUCCAGCUCGAAAUCCCUCCACAGCCACGGGGACACCCUGCACCUAUUCCCACGGGACAGGCUGGACCCAGAGACUCUGGACCCGGGGCCUCCCCUUGAGUAGAGACCCGCCCUCUGACUGAUGGACGCCGCUGACCUGGGGUCAGACCCGUGGGCUGGACCCCUGCCCACCCCGCAGGAACCCUGAGGCCUAGGGGAGCUGUUGAGCCUUCAGUGUCUGCAUGUGGGAAGUGGGCUCCUUCACCUACCUCACAGGGCUGUUGUGAGGGGCGCUGUGAUGCGGUUCCAAAGCACAGGGCUUGGCGCACCCCACUGUGCUCUCAAUAAAUGUGUUUCCUGUCUUAAC
rnacentral:lncRNA from 1 species